rnacentral:rRNA from 1 species
GACAGAGGGUGCAAACGUUGUUCGGAAUUACUGGGCGUAAAGCGCGUGUAGGCGGCUCGGAAAGUCGGGUGUGAAAGCCCUGGGCUUAACCCAGGAAGUGCACUCGAAACUUCCGAGCUGGAGUCCUGGAGAGGAAGGCGGAAUUCUCGGUGUAGAGGUGAAAUUCGUAGAUAUCGAGAGGAACACCGGUGGCGAAGGCGGCCUUCUGGACAGUGACUGACGCUGAGACGCGAAAGCUAGGGGAGCAAACGGG